UAUUAUCCGCUUUAUCAAUUUGUAAGUUUGUGAAUUUUAAUUGAUAAAUUGAAGUUAAAUCUUAGUUGUUUUGUAUUAAAUCAUAGUUCUUUUGUCGAUUUUUAUUGAUUUUGAUGCUAUGGCUUUGGCUAGGAAUUUGAUAUAAUGAGUACACAUUUAAUUAGUACUGAAUUCGGCUGCUUUCUUAGGCAAAGCCUGCGCUUUGUUGUUAGGAACAAUUAGUGAUAGUAAUUCUACGUUCCCUAGGUAUUUUUGUUGGUCUGAGAACUGCCCUGAAUGCGUAUUUCUUUAAAUUUUGCACUUGAAGGUGAAUAGGCCUCAUUAUCUCAUUUCAAAAUUGGAAAACUAAAGAAAUAUUGAUGGGUGUUAGGCUGUAUCAAUGUGGCACUUGCAAGGUUUGGGAGAAUUAUUUUGAUUACUAUCUGUAAUUACGGCUUUAAGAUGAAUGGAGAAGGUAGUCACAGAGAACAUAAUAGUUUAGCUAAACUGACUUUUUGAAAUUGAAAAGUUCGGAUUAAAAGAGCAUUUUGUGAUUAUCACUUCACUAAACCUUGCCCUAAUCAUAGUUUGAAGAGGAAUUUGAUUCUUGUUGAACUGGAUGCAUUUGUGCUGGUUUUAAAAAAAAUUUGAAUAUGUGUAAUUUUGUGAGGAGGCACCUGCUUAUCUUUUUGUGAGGGGAGAUUUCUUUCUUAUUCCAUGAAAUCAAAUGACAUAAAUUUCUUUGACUUACCUAGUAACCCUUGGACCAAGCACUAGGUUAUAUUUGGUAUGAUGUAAUCAAAGUUGUAAUGUAAUUGA
rnacentral:misc_RNA from 1 species